rnacentral:rRNA from 1 species
UACAGAGGGUGCAAGCGUUAUUCGGAAUUACUGGGCGUAAAGCGUGCGUAGGCGGUUAUGUAAGUCAGGUGUGAAAGCCCCGGGCUCAACCUGGGAAUUGCAUUUGAGACUGCAUAGCUAGGGUGCGGAAGAGGGAAGCGGAAUUUCCGGUGUAGCGGUGAAAUGCGUAGAUAUCGGAAGGAACACCAGUGGCGAAAGCGGCUUCCUGGUCCAGCACCGACGUUCAGGCACGAAAGCGUGGGGAGCAAACCGG